AUGCAAGUCGAGGGGCAGCAUCAUCAAAGCUUGCUUUGAUGGAUGGCGACCGGCGCACGGGUAAGUAACACGUAUCCAACCUGCCGACAACACUGGGAUAGCCUUUCGAAAGAAAGAUUAAUACCGGAUGGCAUAAUUAUUCCGCAUGGGAUAAUUAUUAAAGAAUUUCGGUUGUCGAUGGGGAUGCGUUCCAUUAGGCAGUUGGCGGGGUAACGGCCCACCAAACCUACGAUGGAUAGGGGUUCUGAGAGGAAGGUCCCCCACAUUGGAACUGAGACACGGUCCAAACUCCUACGGGAGGCAGCAGUGAGGAAUAUUGGUCAAUGGACGAGAGUCUGAACCAGCCAAGUAGCGUGAAGGAUGACUGCCCUAUGGGUUGUAAACUUCUUUUAUACGGGAAUAAAGUGAGCCACGUGUGGCUUUUUGUAUGUACCGUAUGAAUAAGGAUCGGCUAACUCCGUGCCAGCAGCCGCGGUAAUACGGAGGAUCCGAGCGUUAUCCGGAUUUAUUGGGUUUAAAGGGAGCGUAGGCGGGUUGUUAAGUCAGUUGUGAAAGUUUGCGGCUCAACCGUAAAAUUGCAGUUGAUACUGGCGACCUUGAGUGCAACAGAGGUAGGCGGAAUUCGUGGUGUAGCGGUGAAAUGCUUAGAUAUCACGAA
rnacentral:rRNA from 1 species